rnacentral:lncRNA from 1 species
UUGUCCCUGUUUUUGUCCCCGUUUCAUCCCCAUUAUCCCCAUUUCGUCCCCAAUGUCCCCGUUUUGUCCCCAUUGUCCCCAUUUCAUCCCUGUUUUGUCCGUUAUCCAUGUUUUUGUCCCCGUUAUCCCCAUUUUGUCCCCAUUUUAUCCCCAUUUCUCCACAUUUUUCCCGUUUUGUCCCCAUUUCGUCCCUGUUGUCCCCAUUUUUUCCCCAUUUCAUCCCCAUUAUCCCUAUUUUGUCGCCAUUUUAUCCCCAUUUUCUCCCCAAUAUCCCCAUUUUCUCCCUGUUUUGUCCCCGUUAUCCCCAUUUUGUCCCAAUUUUGUCCCCAUUUCAUCCCCAUUAUCCCUGUUUUCUCCCUGUUUUCUCCCUGUUCUGUCCCCGUUCUGUCCCCAUUUCAGCCCCAUUACCCCCGUUUCAUCCCCAUUAUCCCCAUUAUCUCCCUGUUCUGUCCCCAUUAUCCCCAUUUUCUCCCCGUUUUCUUCCCAUUAUCCCGAUUUUCUUCCAGUUUUGUCCCCAUUAUCCCUGUUUUCUCCCCAUUCUGUCCCCGUUAUGUCCCCAUUUCAGCCCCAUUACCCCCGUUUCGUCCCCAUUACCCCCGUUUUCUCCCCGUUUUCUCCCCAUUAUCUCUGUUUUUUCCCCAUUUUCUCCCCUUUUCGUCCCCAUUAUCCCAAUUUUCUCCCCGUUUUCUCCCCGUUUUGUCCCCAUUAUCCCCAUUUUCUCCCCAUUUCAUCCCCAUUAUCCCCAUUUUCUCCCCAUUAUCCCCAUUUUCUCCCUGCUUUGUCCUCAUUAUCCCCAUUAUGUCCCCAUUUCAUCCCCAUUUUCUCCCCAGUUCAUCCCCAUUAUUCCCGUUUUCUCCCCAUUAUCCCCAUUUUCUCCCCAUUAUCCCCAUUUUCUCUGUUUUUUCCCUAUUUUCUCCCCAUUAUCCCCAUUUUCUCUCAGUUUUUUCCCCAUUUCGUCCCCAUUAUCCCCAUUUUCUCCCCGUUUUCUCCCCAUUAUCCCCAUUUCAUCCUCAUUAUCCCCAUUUUCUCUAAGUUUUUUGCCCAUUUUCUCCCCAUUAUCCCCAUUU